GGUCGGGUCCUGUGCGACGAUCGCCCGUAAACCAGGUCAGGUCCUGACGGAAGCAGCCUCCACGCGGGAACGAUCGUGCGCCGCAGAUCGCCUGGCCGUC
rfam:Actinobacterium acAcidi AMD-COM-C3168, whole genome shotgun sequence.